GAGGCCCGCGGCUGGGCUUUGGAUCAUCGAGUAGAAACAGACUCCUUCCUUUUAGUAAGAAUGAAAAAAAGGAAAGAAAAAAAAAAAGAAGCUAUUUAAACUAACUGGUAUACGUGGAGGUGCCAACAAGAAAGACAAAUCUCAGUGGGUGACAUGCUUUCUUACAUGAAAGGCUGAGAUUGAACAUGUAUCAUGAAACAAAUUUAGUGAAUUGAGACCAGCAUUGAAAAAUAUAAAACAGAACAGAACAGAAUAGAGAAGAAUGAACAUCACAAGCAAAAGGGCUAGCUGUGAAUCAGUGCAAUAUUAAAGGAAGACAGAAAAGAAAGUCAAGAUGGGACAGAUGAAACAACCUUUGGACCUCUGUAUUCAGUGAGGAACCCAAUUCUACAUCAGGUGCCGCCAUCUACUUGAAUGAUAUGAUCAUCUACAAUAGAGGUUGGCAAAAGAUAGCUUGCAAGUCAAAUAUGGCCUGCUACCUAUUUUUCAUAAAUAAAAAAUUUCAACCUUUGGCUUAUGAAGAUACCAAUUGCUGAACCACUGAAAAUAAGUAAGGUAUUUUAGAGGUUCUUUAUUCUGUUGAUCUGUGUUCUGCUUCACCUCUCAAAUCACUACUCAUGCAUGCUCAGAGAUGGGCCAACUGAAAAUACAGUUUGCAAAGCUCCUAGCCCUAUUAAAUCAUGAAAGCCCAUAUCCAUGAUAAAAUUAACCUCACUAUUGGAUAAUGACCAUGAGUAUAAAACUUCUUAAUCAUCUUUGUUUUAUGGUGCUCUGCCAAGCACUAGUCCUAGUUCUGUUUAUUCCUGCUUUAAAGUAGUUCCCAGUCUAAGACACUUAAUACUAAGACAGUUUCAUGUUACAGUCUAAAUGAACUCAAUAUUUAAAUUGCUAAUAAUGAAAGAAGAAAUCAGAAUUUUUUUAGAUAUCUUGGUAUCUAUUUGCCCUGAAAUUUUUGAGGAAAAUUACAAAUAGCAAAACUUUAAGAAAGAAUUAUAAUGAAACUUACUUACCAGGAAGUUGUGUCAGAGAGCUUGCUUUAAAAAUCAUCCUAUUUAAUUUUGGCAGUAAAUAGGGGGCAAAUAUUGUAGACAUUCUUAUUAGCUGCAAGUCAAGCUUAAUUAAGGAAACAAAAUACUGAAUUGCAAAGGGAAACAGAAUUGAUGCCUAAUAUUUUUUGCUCUGAGUUUAGUAUACUAGCUGGCUUAAACUCUGGGUGACAUACACAAUUAAAACCAAAUAAAAGACUUGACAAUUUACUUAUCUGGACUCUUGCUCCAUUUUAUGUUGCCAAAAUUACCACCUUGCCAUCAUCUCUGCAAAAUAAAUCAAGCAGAAGUUUCUGUUGAUAUAAUGAAUAUUUUAUUUUUUUUUCAGGUGAGAUCAUUUCUGUAUCUUCUGUAAGUAUAAGGUAAAUUAAUGAAGCAAAUCACUUAGGACAUACCAUUUUAUUAACUAAUUAGAUGCUCAUAAAGAAGAAAAUUCAAUAUCUAAAGUUUAUAUACUGUUAUUUUAGCCAUUUGAUUUAACUGAUCAAUCUCCAAUCAAGGCAAUAGUGUCAAAAACUGAAUUGUUUUUCUUAUAAAUUUUUCAUAAUAAAAAAAUUGAAGCAUGCAGAAAAAAUGAACAGAAAUGAAUACACAUCACCAAGAUUCAGCAAUAGGUAAUACUCAUAAUUGCAUUUGCUUGCUUUGUCUCUAGUAUUUUAAAAUCUAGGAUAGUAUCCUACCUUUUAAUUUAUUUAUGUAUUUAAUUACAUUGACUCUUAAAAAAGACUAAUUUUCUCACAGAUUAUACAACAUUUUGAAUGUAUGUGAUUAUUUUCUUCUUUCACCUUUUCUUUCUAUUUCUAGAGGAAAGUUGACCUCAAGACUAGAUUUACAGUAAACAUUUUGGAAACACUAUUUCAUAGGUAAUGCUGUGUGCUUGUUUUGCAUCAUAUCAAGAGGCACACAAUGUCAGCUUAUUCCAGUAUUAGUGAUGCUAAGUUUGAUCAUCCAGUUGAUUUGAUGACCAACAGACCUCUCUCCAUUAUAAGGUUAUACUUUUCUUUAGCAACAUUUAUAUAUCUUAUAUUACAGAAACAUAUUACCUAAUGAUUUUAGCUUUUACAAAGGAACUGUGCCUGAAUUACUUAUUUUAUAAGGGGGUCAGAACUGUGAUUUUUGUAAUACUAUUAUUCUAUGUUUAUUAACUGAUGCUUUUUUGUGAAAAAAAUUAUUUUUCCUUCCAAAAAUUGCACACCACCUUCCUUUUAAUAAUGAGCUGUCAGAGUAAGGAAUUGGUGUAAUAGUAAGUGACUCUAUAUUCCAAUUUAUCCAGUACAGUCCUGGCUAUGUCUUACAUAAUACUGCUGUGCUCCUGUUCUGUUCAUUCUCAAACAUUUAACAGAUUAAACAAUAAAUUCUAAGAUUAUUCCA